rfam:Onchocerca flexuosa genome assembly, scaffold: OFLC_contig0027426
GGUUUAAUUACCCAAGUUUGAGAUAAUUGAAUGUUUCGGCCCGGUGUUUUGGCUGCUGUGGCUUGAAAUGAAAUUUUGGAAUGUCCUGUAUUUGCGGGACAAC